rnacentral:rRNA from 1 species
GCAGCCUGAUGCAGCAACGCCGCGUGAGGGAUGACGGCCUUCGGGUUGUAAACCUCUUUUAGUAGGGAAGAAGCGAAAGUGACGGUACCUGCAGAAAAAGCACCGGCUAACUACGUGCCAGCAGCCGCGGUAAUACGUAGGGUGCAAGCGUUGUCCGGAAUUAUUGGGCGUAAAGAGCUCGUAGGCGGUUUGUCGCGUCUGCUGUGAAAACUGGAGGCUCAACCUCCAGCCUGCAGUGGGUACGGGCAGACUAGAGUGCGGUAGGGGAGAUUGGAAUUCCUGGUGUAGCGGUGGAAUGCGCAGAUAUCAGGAGGAACACCGAUGGCGAAGGCAGAUCUCUGGGCCGUAACUGACGCUGAGGAGCGAAAGCGUGGGGAGCGAACAGGAUUAGAUACCCUGGUAGUCCACGCCGUAAACGUUGGGAACUAGAUGUGGGGACCAUUCCACGGUCUCCGUGUCGCAGCUAACGCAUUAAGUUCCCCGCCUGGGGAGUACGGCCGCAAGGCUAAAACUCAAAGGAAUUGACGGGGGCCCGCACAAGCGGCGGAGCAUGCGGAUUAAUUCGAUGCAACGCGAAGAACCUUACCAAGGCUUGACAUAUACGAGAACGGGCCAGAAAUGGUCAACUCUUUGGA